rnacentral:rRNA from 1 species
AGAGUUUGAUUAUGGCUCAGGAUGAACGCUAGCGACAGGCUUAACACAUGCAAGUCGAGGGGCAGCACGGGAGUAGCAAUACAACUGGUGGCGACCGGCGCGACGGGUGAGUAACGCGUAUGCAACCUACCUAUCAGAGGGGAAUAACCCGGCGAAAGUCGGACUAAUACCGCAUAAAACAGGGGCACCGCAUGGUGAUAUUUGUUAAAGAAAUUCGCUGAUAGAUGGGCAUGCGUUCCAUUAGGUAGUUGGUGAGGUAACGGCUCACCAAGCCGACGAUGGAUAGGGGAACUGAGAGGUUGGUCCCCCACACUGGUACUGAGACACGGACCAGACUCCUACGGGAGGCAGCAGUGAGGAAUAUUGGUCAAUGGGCGGGAGCCUGAACCAGCCAAGUCGCGUGAAGGAAAGAAGGAUCUAUGGUUCGUAAACUUCUUUUGCAGGGGAAUAAAGUGCAGGACGUGUCCUGUUUUGUAUGUACCCUGAGAAUAAGGAUCGGCUAACUCCGUGCCAGCAGCAGC